rnacentral:rRNA from 1 species
GUUCGGAAUUACUGGGCUUAAAGAGCUCGUAGGUGGUUAAAAAGGUUGAUGGUGAAAUCCCCAAGGCUUAACCUUGGGACUGCCAUCAAAACUUUUUAGCUAGAGUGUGAUAGAGGUAAGUGGAAUUUCUAGUGUAGAGGUGAAAUUCGUAGAUAUUAGAAAGAACACCAAAUGCGAAGGCAACUUACUGGGUCACUACUGACACUGAGGAGCGAAAGCAUGGGUAGCGAAGAGGAUUAGAUACCCUCGUAGUCCAUGCCGUAAACGAUGUGUGCUAGACGUUGGAAAUAUAUUUUUCAGUGUCGCAGCGAAAGCAUUAAGCACACCGCCUGGGGAGUACGACCGCAAGGUUAAAACUCAAAUGAAUUGACGGGGACCCGCACAAGCAGUGGAGCAUGUGGUUUAAUUCGAAGAUACGCGCAGAACCUUACCAACACUUGACAUGUUCGUCGCGAGACUAAGAGAUUAGUCUUUUCAGUUCGGCUGGACGAAACACAGGUGCUGCAUGGCU